rnacentral:rRNA from 1 species
UACGAAGGGGGCUAGCGUUGUUCGGAAUUACUGGGCGUAAAGGGCGCGUAGGCGGCUGCCCAAGUCAGAUGUGAAAGCCCCGGGCUUAACCUGUGAAUUGCAUUUUAGACUGGGCGGCUUGAGUUCCGGAGAGGUGGGUGGAAUUCCCAGUGUAGAGGUGAAAUUCGUAGAUAUUGGGAAGAACACCUGUGGCGAAGGCGGCCCACUGGACGGACACUGACGCUGAGGCGCGAAAGCGUGGGGAGCAAACAGG